rnacentral:rRNA from 1 species
UCGCCUGUUUUAUCAAAAACAUCGCCUCCUGCAAAAAUCCAAGUAUAGGAGGUCCAGCCUGCCCAGUGACUAUAAGUUUAACGGCCGCGGUAUUUUGACCGUGCAAAGGUAGCGCAAUCACUUGUCUUUUAAAUGAAGACCCGUAUGAAUGGCUAAACGAGGGCUUAACUGUCUCCCCUUUCAAGUCAGUGAAAUUGAUCUACCCGUGCAGAAGCGGGUAUAAACAUACAAGACGAGAAGACCCUUUGGAGCUUAAGGUGUUAACCCAAUCGCGUCAAACAACUUAUUAAAGAGCACAAACUUAGCGCACCAUGGAAUUUCACCUUCGGUUGGGGCGACCACGGAGGAAAAAACAGCCUCCGAGUGGACUGGGGAUAUAUCCUAGAGUCAAGAGGGACACCUCUAAACCACAGAACAUCUGACCAAAUGUGAUCCGGACACAAAGUCCGAUCAACGAACCAAGUUACCCUAGGGAUAACAGCGCAAUCCUCUCCCAGAGUCCAUAUCGACGAGGGGGUUUACGACCUCGAUGUUGGAUCAGGACAUCCUAAUGGUGCAGCCGCUAUUAAGGGUUCGUUUGUUCAACGAUUAAAGUCCUACGUGAUCUGAGUUCAGACCGG